AUUGAACGCUAGCGGGAUGCUUUACACAUGCAAGUCGAACGGCAGCGCGGACUUCGGUCUGGCGGCGAGUGGCGAACGGGUGAGUAAUGUAUCGGAACGUGCCCAGUAGCGGGGGAUAACUACGCGAAAGCGUAGCUAAUACCGCAUACGCCCUACGGGGGAAAGCAGGGGAUCGUAAGACAUUGCACUAUUGGAGCGGCCGAUAUCGGAUUAGCUAGUUGGUGAGGUAACGGCUCACCAAGGCGACGAUCCGUAGCUGGUUUGAGAGGACGACCAGCCACACUGGGACUGAGACACGGCCCAGACUCCUACGGGAGGCAGCAGUGGGGAAUUUUGGACAAUGGGGGCAACCCUGAUCCAGCCAUCCCGCGUGUGCGAUGAAGGCCUUCGGGUUGUAAAGCACUUUUGGCAGGAAAGAAACGUCGCGGGCUAAUACCCCGUGGAACUGACGGUACCUGCAGAAUAAGCACCGGCUAACUACGUG
rnacentral:rRNA from 1 species